AUAAAUCCAUACUUAUUUUGUUAGGUUCAGGUGUUAUGGAUAUGUGAACAAAACUAUGACACUAUAACUAUGUAGCAACUUGUUGCCAGCUAUAUUAAGCACGAUAAAGAUAGAGAAAAUAGAAAUCGUGUUUUAGUAAUAAAAUUGUCAUUUCAUGAUUUUCAUUAUAUAUCGUAGAUAAUAUUAGCCGUGUAGAAAUUUCGUAUAAAUACUGCUCGCACUCCAAGUUUAUUCACAAUUCCAUUGAAUAUUCAGUUAAAAUGGCGACCUUCAACAAGAUUUUCUUCAUUUGCGUCUUGGUACCCGCCUUACUGAUGGCGAUCGUCCUACCAGCAGUUACAGCGGAAGAUUCAGCCGAAUAUUCAGUUUUGGUGAAGAGGGGUAUCAAUCUUGCUAAAGUGGUGAAAGUAGUCAAACCAGUAGUAAAGGCACUGGCACCUUUAUUAGCAAACAUCUAAACCCGAAACAACCGAAGCGUACAUUAUCUUUAAAUUAAGCUUUGUCAAAUUUUUGCAAUAAAUGUUGCGAGCAUAUAAAAAA